CGUCAGAAUGAACGUCAGGAUGAACAGCAGCCACUGGCAUUUUAUUGGCCCCAACCUAUGAUCAAAAGUCAAACUUCAUUUCUGUAAGACUCUACAGGAGAAAGAUGGCGGGUGAUUCUGCUGGUGAGGAAAUGGCUACUGCGGACUUUGCUCAAGGUUCUACAGGAGACUUAAGGAUCUUGUUGUUAGGGAGAAGUGGAU